rnacentral:rRNA from 1 species
CUGUUUGAUCCUGGCUCAGGACGAACGCUGGCGGCGUGCUUAACACAUGCAAGUCGAACGGAAAGGCCCUGCUUUUGUGGGGUGCUCGAGUGGCGAACGGGUGAGUAACACGUGAGUAACCUGCCCUUGACUUUGGGAUAACUUCAGGAAACUGGGGCUAAUACCGGAUAGGAGCUCCUGCUGCAUGGUGGGGGUUGGAAAGUUUCGGCGGUUGGGGAUGGACUCGCGGCUUAUCAGCUUGUUGGUGGGGUAGUGGCUUACCAAGGCUUUGACGGGUAGCCGGCCUGAGAGGGUGACCGGCCACAUUGGGACUGAGAUACGGCCCAGACUCCUACGGGAGGCAGCAGUGGGGAAUAUUGCACAAUGGGCGGAAGCCUGAUGCAGCAACGCCGCGUGCGGGAUGACGGCCUUCGGGUUGUAAACCGCUUUCGCCUGUGACGAAGCGUGAGUGACGGUAAUGGGUAAAGAAGCACCGGCUAACUACGUGCCAGCAGCCGCGGUGAUACGUAGGGUGCGAGCGUUGUCCGGAUUUAUUGGGCGUAAAGGGCUCGUAGGUGGUUGAUCGCGUCGGAAGUGUAAUCUUGGGGCUUAACCCUGAGCGUGCUUUCGAUACGGGUUGACUUGAGGAAGGUAGGGGAGAAUGGAAUUCCUGGUGGAGCGGUGGAAUGCGCAGAUAUCAGGAGGAACACCAGUGGCGAAGGCGGUUCUCUGGGCCUUUCCUGACGCUGAGGAGCGAAAGCGUGGGGAGCGAACAGGCUUAGAUACCCUGGUAGUCCACGCUGUAAACGGUGGGUACUAGGUGUGGGGUCCAUUCCACGGGUUCCGUGCCGUAGCUAACGCUUUAAGUACCCCGCCUGGGGAGUACGGCCGCAAGGCUAAAACUCAAAGGAAUUGACGGGGCCCCGCACAAGCGGCGGAGCAUGCGGAUUAAUUCGAUGCAACGCGUAGAACCUUACCUGGGUUUGACAUGGAUCGGGAGUGCUCAGAGAUGGGUGUGCCUCUUUUGGGGUCGGUUCACAGGUGGUGCAUGGCUGUCGUCAGCUCGUGUCGUGAGAUGUUGGGUUAAGUC